rnacentral:piRNA from 1 species
UUCGUAAAAUCUAUACAUCAC